CCUACGGGUGGCAGCAGUGGGGAAUAUUGGGCAAUGGGCGCAAGCCUGACCCAGCAACGCCGCGUGAAGGAAGAAGGCUUUCGGGUUGUACACUUCUUUUGUCAGGGAAGAGUAGAAGACGGUACCUGACGAAUAAGCCACGGCUAACUACGUGCCAGCAGCCGCGGUAAUACGUAGGUGGCAAGCGUUGUCCGGAUUUACUGGGUGUAAAGGGCGUGUAGCCGGGUUGACAAGUCAGAUGUGAAAUCCUGCGGCUUAACCGCAGAACUGCAUUUGAAACUGUAGUUCUUGAGUACUGGAGAGGCAGACGGAAUUCCUAGUGUAGCGGUGAAAUGCGUAGAUAUUAGGAGGAACACCAGUGGCGAAGGCGGUCUGCUGGACAGCAACUGACGCUGAGGCGCGAAAGCGUGGGGAGCAAACAGGAUUAGAUACCCCAGUAGUC
rnacentral:rRNA from 1 species